GACGAACGCUGGCGGCGUGCUUAACACAUGCAAGUCGAACGAAGUGGCGAACGGGUGAGUAAUACGUGGGUAACCUGCCCUCCUUUUUGGGAUAAGCCUUGGAAACGGGGUCUAAUACCGGAUAGUGCAGGAUGAGCUCGCGGCCUAUGAGCUUGUUGGUGGGGUAAUGGCCUACCAAGGCGUCGACGGGUAGCCGGCCUGGGAGGGUGUACGGCCACAUUGUGACUGGGGUAGCGCCAGGGCGGAUACGUGCGGAAGGAGUGGGGGAUAUAGCAAAAUGUGCGGAGGCUAGAUGCAGCGCCGCCGCGUGGGAAAUGAAGUCCAUCGGGUUGUAAACUGCUUUCGACAGGAACGCGGUACCUGUAUAAGAGGCACCGCCUAACUACUUGCCAGCAGCCGCGGUAAUU
rnacentral:rRNA from 1 species